rnacentral:rRNA from 1 species
GACGGAGGGUGCUAGCGUUGUUCGGAAUCACUGGGCGUAAAGCGCGCGUAGGCGGAUUGUUAAGUCGGGGGUGAAAUCCUGAGGCUCAACCUCAGAACUGCCUUCGAUACUGGCGAUCUUGAGUCCGGGAGAGGUGAGUGGAAUUCCUAGUGUAGAGGUGAAAUUCGUAGAUAUUAGGAAGAACACCAGUGGCGAAGGCGGCUCACUGGCCCGGUACUGACGCUGAGGCGCGAAAGCCAGGGGAGCAAACGGG